rnacentral:lncRNA from 10 species
UUCUGGAGGCUGGGAAGUCCAAGAUCAAGCUGCCAACAGAUUUGGUGUCUGGUGAGGCUGCACACUCCAGAGGGGCAGAACGCUGUGACCUCACAUGGCAGAACUGAAGAGCAACCUAAGGACAAGGUGUGUAUGAUAAAGCAGUGGGAACCAGGCAAAGAAGAUCAUUAAAGCCCUUACCAGCCAAGCUCCCAUUCUCACUCAGUCCCCUGCAAACCAUCGGCAUAAAGAGCAAAGUUUCAGAGAUCACAUCCUCUAGUGGAGAGCAAAUGAACAAAAGGGGAAAGAGAGACGCGAUGAAUUGCACGUGCGCUAUUAUAUUUGCAAGCGGGUUACAUUGUCCUUGGAUAAGAAUUUUAUAUUCCCCGUGAGUCGGAGACUCUGUGCUCUGAAUUAUGUUGCUCAAUUCAAGCGAUGAUCCAAGGCCAAUGACAGUAUACCAAGCUAUCAUUUCUUGGCAGGUCG